CUCAACAAUGCUCAGAAGAUGCUAUACAGGAAUGUGAUGCUGGAGACAUAUAGUAGCCUGCUGUCACUGGGGCAAUACAUCCCUAAACCUGAGUUGAUCUUCAAAUUGGAAGAGGGAGAGGAGCCAUGGACAGCAGAAGAACCUGCAAACAAGACUCUGCCAGGUUGCAACUUUCAGCUUUUGCUUGUGGCCAUCAGAAAUUAAAUGCACUCUGCUGGGAGACUCUGAACACAAGUGCUGAAACUUGAAAAGCAAAUGGCAUCUUUAUGGAAGAAGUUCCAAGAACAGGAGGAAGAUCUAAGGGCAGAGAAGAGAAGAAUCUUUCAGAGGAGUGAGUUAGUGCAGCUGAGCCUGAUGAC